UAGUCCAUGCUGUAAACGAUGGUCACUCGGUGCUGCGGGUUUCGACCCCCCUUGUGCCGGAGCUAACGCGUUAAGCGCACCGCCUGGGAAGUACGGUCGCAAGACUAAAACUCAAAGAAAUUGACGGGGACCCGCACAAGCGGUGGAGUAUGUGGCUUAAUUCGAUGCAACGCGAAGAACCUUACCAGGGCUUGACAUGCAUUGCUAAGCGCGUGAAAGCGCGUGAGUCUUCGGACACCUUGCACAGGUGCUGCAUGGCCGUCGUCAGCUCGUGUCGUGAGAUGUUGGGUUAAGUCCCGCAACGAGCGCAACCCCUGUGAUUAGUUGCCAGCACGUAAUGGUGGGGACUCUAGUCAGACUGCCCAGAUCAACUGGGAGGAAGGUGGGGAUGACGUCAGGUCAGUAUGGCCCUUACGCCCUGGGCUGCACACGUACUACAAUGCCCAGUACAAUGAGAACCGAGACCGCGAGGUGGAGGAAAUCUGCAAAACUGGGCCCG
rnacentral:rRNA from 1 species